AACUCUGAGCUUGUGGAUCACUUGGCUUGUGCAUCGAUGAAGAACACAGCUAGCUGCUAGAACUAAUGUGAAUUGCAGGACACAUUGAUCAUCGACACUUUGAAUGCACUUUGCGGCCCCAGGUAAUUCCUGGGGCUACACCUGCCUGAGGGUCA